GUGGGUUUGCUGCUGCCUCAACACCCUGACCUUCUCCAGGCAGUGGGUCCCAGAUCUGCAGUCUGUGCUCUGGGAAAAGGUUUCAGAAGACCUGUGAGGAAGGCAAUUGAAUCAGUGCAGGUUAUUGAUUUCCCAGAGACUGAGACAGUGGAAUACUGUCAAGGUUUGAAGGCUGGCACAGACAUACGAGUUGUUUUUAGAGAAAGCUCUGUGAAGACCCAGGAG